rnacentral:rRNA from 2 species
UACGGGGGAUGCAAGUGUUAUCCGGAAUAAUUGGGCGUAAAGCGUCUGUAGGUGGUUGACCAAGUCUGUUGUUAAAAAUCAGGGCUCAACCCUGAUCCGGCAACAGAAACUAGUAAACUUGAGUACGGUAGGGGCAGAGGGAAUUCUCGGUGUAGUGGUGAAAUACGUAGAUAUCGAGAAGAACACCAAUAGCGAAAGCACUCUGCUGGGCCGAAACUGACAUUGAGAGACGAAAGCUAGGGGAGCAAAAGGG